rnacentral:lncRNA from 1 species
UUUGAAAUGCAGACCAUCGAAUUCCAUUUUAGCGAACUCUGAUUCUGGCAUUCUUACAAAACAACGGCUUCUUGCCGUUUUGAAUCGGUUCAAAUAUUCUUCAACCCAUUCUCCCAUUCUCUAUCUAAACUGAGCCAGAUCAGCAACCGAAAGUGCUGGUCUGAUCUAUAAAACUGCUCAUAAAAUUUUUUUUCCAAUUCGUCCCAAUCUC